CCUACGGGUGGCAGCAGUGAGGAAUAUUGGUCAAUGGACGCAAGUCUGAACCAGCCAUGCCGCGUGCAGGAAGACGGCUCUAUGAGUUGUAAACUGCUUUUGUACGAGGGUAAACGCAGAUACGCGUAUCUGUCUGAAAGUAUCGUACGAAUAAGGAUCGGCUAACUCCGUGCCAGCAGCCGCGGUAAUACGUAGGGGGCAAGCGUUAUCCGGAUUUAUUGGGUUUAAAGGGUGCGUAGGCGGAAUGCCAAGUCAGCGGGAAAAUCGCGGGGCUCAACCUAACUCCGCCGUUGAGACUGGCGUUCUUGAGUGGGCGUGAGGUAUGCGGAAUGCGUGGUGUAGCGGUGAAAUGCAUAGAUAUCACGAAGAACUCCGAUUGCGAAGGCAGCAUACUGGCGCCCCACUGACGCUGAAGCACGAAAGUGUGGGUAUCGAACAGGAUUAGAUACCCGGGUAGUC
rnacentral:rRNA from 1 species